CAGGGAAUUUUGCACAAUGGGCGCAAGCCUGAUGCAGCGACGCCGCGUGGGGGAUGAAUGCCUUCGGGUUGUAAACCCCUUUCAGGAGGGACGAAGCGAAAGUGACGGUACCUCCAGAAGAAGCCCCGGCCAACUACGUGCCAGCAGCCGCGGUAAUACGUAGGGGGCGAGCGUUGUCCGGAUUUAUUGGGCGUAAAGAGCUCGUAGGCGGCUCAACAAGUCGGCCGUGAAAGCCUGAGGCUCAACCUCAGGACGCCGGUCGAAACUGUUGUGGCUAGGGGUUCGGUAGAGGAGAGUGGAAUUCCCGGUGUAGCGGUGAAAUGCGCAGAUAUCGGGAGGAACACCAGUAGCGAAGGCGGCUCUCUGGGCCGACACCGACGCUGAGGAGCGAAAGCUAGGGGAGCAAACAGGAUUAGAUACCCUGGUAGUCCACGCCGUAAACGAUGAGUGCUAGAUGUUGGGA
rnacentral:rRNA from 1 species